rnacentral:rRNA from 1 species
UUAAGUUAUUAAGGGCGCAUGGUGGAUGCCUUGGCACUAGAAGCCGAUGAAGGACGUUACUAACGACGAUAUGCUUUGGGGAGCUGUAAGUAAGCUUUGAUCCAGAGAUUUCCGAAUGGGGAAACCCAGCAUGAGUUAUGUCAUGUUAUCGAUAUGUGAAUACAUAGCAUAUCAGAAGGCACACCCGGAGAACUGAAACAUCUUAGUACCCGGAGGAAGAGAAAGAAAAUUCGAUUCCCUUAGUAGCGGCGAGCGAAACGGGAAGAGCCCAAACCAACAAGCUUGCUUGUUGGGGUUGUAGGACACUCUAUACGGAGUUACAAAGGACGACAUUAGACGAAUCAUCUGGAAAGAUGAAUCAAAGAAGGUAAUAAUCCUGUAGUCGAAAAUGUUGUCUCUCUUGAGUGGAUCCUGAGUACGACGGAGCACGUGAAAUUCCGUUGGAAUCUGGGAGGACCAUCUCCUAAGGCUAAAUACUCUCUAGUGACCGAUAGUGAACCAGUACCGUGAGGGAAAGGUGAAAAGCACCCCGGAAGGGGAGUGAAAUAGAACCUGAAACCGUGUGCUUACAAGUAGUCAGAGCCCGUUAAUGGGUGAUGGCGUGCCUUUUGUAGAAUGAACCGGCGAGUUACGAUUUGAUGCAAGGUUAAGCAGUAAAUGUGGAGCCGUAGCGAAAGCGAGUCUGAAUAGGGCGUUUAGUAUUUGGUCGUAGACCCGAAACCAGGUGAUCUACCCUUGGUCAGGUUGAAGUUCAGGUAACACUGAAUGGAGGACCGAACCGACUUACGUUGAAAAGUGAGCGGAUGAACUGAGGGUAGCGGAGAAAUUCCAAUCGAACCUGGAGAUAGCUGGUUCUCUCCGAAAUAGCUUUAGGGCUAGCCUCAAGUGAUGAUUAUUGGAGGUAGAGCACUGUUUGGACGAGGGGCCCCUCUCGGGUUACCGAAUUCAGACAAACUCCGAAUGCCAAUUAAUUUAACUUGGGAGUCAGAACAUGGGUGAUAAGGUCCGUGUUCGAAAGGGAAACAGCCCAGACCACCAGCUAAGGUCCCAAAAUAUAUGUUAAGUGGAAAAGGAUGUGGCGUUGCCCAGACAACUAGGAUGUUGGCUUAGAAGCAGCCAUCAUUUAAAGAGUGCGUAAUAGCUCACUAGUCGAGUGACACUGCGCCGAAAAUGUACCGGGGCUAAACAUAUUACCGAAGCUGUGGAUUGUCCUUUGGACAAUGGUAGGAGAGCGUUCUAAGGGCGUUGAAGCAUGAUCGUAAGGACAUGUGGAGCGCUUAGAAGUGAGAAUGCCGGUGUGAGUAGCGAAAGACGGGUGAGAAUCCCGUCCACCGAUUGACUAAGGUUUCCAGAGGAAGGCUCGUCCGCUCUGGGUUAGUCGGGUCCUAAGCUGAGGCCGACAGGCGUAGGCGAUGGAUAACAGGUUGAUAUUCCUGUACCACCUAUAAUCGUUUUAAUCGAUGGGGGGACGCAGUAGGAUAGGCGAAGCGUGCGAUUGGAUUGCACGUCUAAGCAGUAAGGCUGAGUAUUAGGCAAAUCCGGUACUCAUUAAGGCUGAGCUGUGAUGGGGAGAAGACAUUGUGUCUUCGAGUCGUUGAUUUCACACUGCCGAGAAAAGCCUCUAGAUAGAAAAUAGGUGCCCGUACCGCAAACCGACACAGGUAGUCAAGAUGAGAAUUCUAAGGUGAGCGAGCGAACUCUCGUUAAGGAACUCGGCAAAAUGACCCCGUAACUUCGGGAGAAGGGGUGCUCUUUAGGGUUAACGCCCAGAAGAGCCGCAGUGAAUAGGCCCAAGCGACUGUUUAUCAAAAACACAGGUCUCUGCUAAACCGUAAGGUGAUGUAUAGGGGCUGACGCCUGCCCGGUGCUGGAAGGUUAAGAGGAGUGGUUAGCUUCUGCGAAGCUACGAAUCGAAGCCCCAGUAAACGGCGGCCGUAACUAUAACGGUCCUAAGGUAGCGAAAUUCCUUGUCGGGUAAGUUCCGACCCGCACGAAAGGCGUAACGAUUUGGGCACUGUCUCAACGAGAGACUCGGUGAAAUCAUAGUACCUGUGAAGAUGCAGGUUACCCGCGACAGGACGGAAAGACCCCGUGGAGCUUUACUGUAGCCUGAUAUUGAAAUUCGGCACAGCUUGUACAGGAUAGGUAGGAGCCUUUGAAACGUGAGCGCUAGCUUACGUGGAGGCGCUGGUGGGAUACUACCCUAGCUGUGUUGGCUUUCUAACCCGCACCACUUAUCGUGGUGGGAGACAGUGUCAGGCGGGCAGUUUGACUGGGGCGGUCGCCUCCUAAAAGGUAACGGAGGCGCUCAAAGGUUCCCUCAGAAUGGUUGGAAAUCAUUCAUAGAGUGUAAAGGCAUAAGGGAGCUUGACUGCGAGACCUACAAGUCGAGCAGGGUCGAAAGACGGACUUAGUGAUCCGGUGGUUCCGCAUGGAAGGGCCAUCGCUCAACGGAUAAAAGCUACCCCGGGGAUAACAGGCUUAUCUCCCCCAAGAGUUCACAUCGACGGGGAGGUUUGGCACCUCGAUGUCGGCUCAUCGCAUCCUGGGGCUGUAGUCGGUCCCAAGGGUUGGGCUGUUCGCCCAUUAAAGCGGUACGCGAGCUGGGUUCAGAACGUCGUGAGACAGUUCGGUCCCUAUCCGUCGUGGGCGUAGGAAAUUUGAGAGGAGCUGUCCUUAGUACGAGAGGACCGGGAUGGACAUACCUCUGGUGUACCAGUUGUCGUGCCAACGGCAUAGCUGGGUAGCUAUGUGUGGACGGGAUAAGUGCUGAAAGCAUCUAAGCAUGAAGCCCCCCUCAAGAUGAGAUUUCCCAACUUCGGUUAUAAGAUCCCUCAAAGAUGAUGAGGUUAAUAGGUUCGAGGUGGAAGCAUGGUGACAUGUGGAGCUGACGAAUACUAAUCGAUCGAAGACUUAAUCAA